UUUUAUCAAAAUUUUAAAAUUUAAAUCCAAAUAAAUUUAAAUAUUUGAUUUUAAAUAUUAUAUUAAAUUCGUAAUUAAAUACAAAAUAUGAAAAUAAAUAAAUAAAGUGGGCUAACUUACGACCAAUGAACAUCUAACAUCGAUGUAAAAUGGUCGUUCUUUUGCGAUGAAUAAACAUCGACGUAGAGGCAAAUUGGUCGUAAGUUUACGACUAAUGUACAUCUAAUUUGUGAGACGUAAAUGUGCGUCACAUUUACGACUGAUGCUUUUACGUUU
rnacentral:lncRNA from 1 species